rnacentral:rRNA from 1 species
UACGGGGGGGGCAAGCGUUGUUCGGAAUUACUGGGCGUAAAGGGCUCGUAGGUGGCCAACUAAGUCAGACGUGAAAUCCCUCGGCUUAACCGGGGAACUGCGUCUGAUACUGGAUGGCUUGAGGUUGGGAGAGAGAUGCGGAAUUCCAGGUGUAGCGGUGAAAUGCGUAGAUAUCUGGAGGAACACCGGUGGCGAAGGCGGCAUCCUGGACCAAUUCUGACGCUGAGGAGCGAAAGCCAGGGGAGCAAACGGG